GGACAACCUGCCCUUAGGACGGGGAUAAACCCGGGAAACUGGGUAUAAUACCCGAUAGGUCUCGAGUGCUGGAAUGCAUCGAGAUCUAAAGCUCCGGCGCCUAAGGAUGGGUCUGCGGCCUAUCAGGUAGUAGUGGGUGUAGUGUACCUACUAGCCUACGACGGGUACGGGUUGUGAGAGCAAGAGCCCGGAGAUGGAUUCUGAGACACGAAUCCAGGCCCUACGGGGUGCAGCAGGCGCGAAAACUUUACAAUGCUGGCAACAGCGAUAAGGGAACCUCGAGUGCCAGGUUACAAAUCUGGCUGUCGUGAUGCCUAAAAAGCAUUGCAUAGCAAGGGCCGGGCAAGACCGGUGCCAGCCGCCGCGGUAACACCGGCGGCUCGAGUGGUAACCGUUAUUAUUGGGUCUAAAGGGUCUGUAGCCGGCCGGAUAAGUCUCUUGAGAAAUCUGGCAGCUUAACUGUCAGGCUUUCAGGAGAUACUGUCUGGCUCGAGGCCGGGAGAGGUGAGAGGUACUUCAGGGGUAGGGGUGAAAUCUUGUAAUCCUUGAAGGACCACCAGUGGCGAAGGCGUCUCACCAGAACGGACCUGACGGCAAGGGACGAAAGCUAGGGGCACGAACCGGAUUAGAUACCCGGGUAGUCCUAGCCGUAAACGAUACUCGCUAGGUGUCGGCCACGGUGCGACCGUUGUCGGUGCCGUAGGGAAGCCGUGAAGCGAGCCACCUGGGAAGUACGGCCGCAAGGCUGAAACUUAA
rnacentral:rRNA from 1 species